rnacentral:tRNA from 2 species
GCGGCUGGAUCGUAGCGUCCCGCUAGAUCGAUCCCUUGUUGCAGCUCCGCACGUCAGCUUCCCAAGCUGAACGCGCGGGUUCGAUUCCCGCUACCCGCUCCA